UACAGAGGUCUCAAGCGUUGUUCGGAUUCAUUGGGCGUAAAGGGUGCGUAGGCGGCGCGGUAAGUCGGGUGUGAAAUCUCGGAGCUUAACUCCGAAACUGCAUUCGAUACUGCCGUGCUUGAGGACUGGGAGAGGAGACUGGAAUUUACGGUGUAGCGGUGAAAUGCGUAGAUAUCGUAAGGAAGACCAGUGGCGAAGGCGGGUCUCUGGACAGUUCCUGACGCUGAGGCACGAAGGUCAGGGGAGCAAACGGG
rnacentral:rRNA from 1 species